UACAGAGGUCUCAAGCGUUGUUCGGAUUCAUUGGGCGUAAAGGGUGCGUAGGCGGCGCGGUAAGUCGGGUGUGAAAUCUCGGGAGCUUUAACUCCGAAACUGCAUUCGAUACUGCCGUGCUUGAGGACUGGAGAGGAGACUGGAAUUUACGGUGUAGCGGUGAAAUGCGUAGAUAUCGUAAGGAAGACCAGUGGCGAAGGCGGGUCCCUGGACAGUUCCUGACGCUGAGGCACGAAGGUCAAGGGGAGCAAACGGGG
rnacentral:rRNA from 1 species